AUUGAACGCUGGCGGCAGGCCUAACACAUGCAAGUCGAGCGAGCGGCGGACGGGUGAGUAAUGUAUGGGGACUGCCCGAUAGAGGGGGAUAGCUACUGGAAACGGUAGCUAAUACCGCAUACUAUCGGAUAACCCAUAUGGGAUUAGCUAGUUGGUGGGGUAAAGGCUCACCAAGGCAACGAUCCGUAGCUGGUUUGAGCGGACGACCAGCCACACUUGGACUGGGACAAGGCCCAGACUCCGACGGAGGCAGCAGUGGGGAAUUUUUGACAAUGGGUGAAACCCUGAUCCAGCCAUCCCGCGUGUAUGAUGAAGGCCUUCGGGUUGUAAAGUACUUUUGGCAGAGAAGCGGUAUCUGCAGAAUAAGCACCGGCUAACUACGUGCCAGCCGCCGCGGUAAUAC
rnacentral:rRNA from 1 species